rnacentral:lncRNA from 1 species
UCAUGAUAAUUAGCACACAUUGUUCAAUUAGAAUGUGUUAACUUUUUCACUUAUGUAAUAUUCGAAAUUCAUUCAAGUGUUUAAGUCUUGCUAGGAAUACUUAUGGGUUUUAUAUUAAAUCCAUUCCAUAUCUUAUAUUGUUCAUUAACACUUGUCACGGCGUUUCGACGUUCAUUCGUCACACACCCGAAUCAUCUCUCUUGUGUAUGCUUAGUGUGCUUACAUAACUUAUCUAAUACAUCAUUUAUUAAUGUUAAUCAUCAUUAUAUUUACUAACAUUCAUGUUUUAUAACUUAGGACACCAUCUUUUAUCGUCAUGAGCACUACACUUGCAUAUGUGCAUGUCUGACCCAUGUUCCUGACCUCAAAUUGAACACCUGAAAGAUAGAAAGUUGUAGGGCUAUUCGUCCUCGUUCCGGAUUAUCUUGAAUCAAAUUAAUCGGAGUCCGUAUGAAAAUGUUAUGGCCAUUUUACUUUAGGAAGUCAAAACUGUCCGGCCGUGUCAACUAUUUCGGUGUUGUAGUGCCACAAAUAAUCUUGGGGGCCACGCUGCAGCCCCCCUUAGCAGUAUGUACGCGUUUUUUUUCUCCAGUUUUACUGUUCUUACGAAUUUUUGACCCUUUCUCCUUCCAACCUACAUAACUUGAGUUAUACACACCCAAAU